rnacentral:rRNA from 1 species
AAUCAACGCUGGCGGCGUGCCUCAGACAUGCAAGUCGAACGAUUAAAGCUCUCUUCGGAGAGUGCAUAGAGUGGCGCACGGGUGAGUAACACGUAAGUAAUCUACCCUCGAGUGGGGAAUAACGUCCGGAAACGGACGCUAAUACCGCAUAAUGCAGCGGCACCGCAAGGUGACAGUUGUUAAAGAUUUAUCGCUUGAGGAGGAGCUUGCGGCAGAUUAGCUAGUUGGUAAGGUAAUGGCUUACCAAGGCUACGAUCUGUAACCGGUCUUAGAGGACGGUCGGUCACACUGACACUGAAUAACGGGUCAGACUCCUACGGGAGGCAGCAGUCGGGAAUUUUGGGCAAUGGGCGAAAGCCUGACCCAGCAACGCCGCGUGAAGGAUGAAGUAUUUCGGUAUGUAAACUUCGAAAGAAUAGGAAGAAUUAAUGACGGUACUAUUUAUAAGGUCCGGCUAACUACGUGCCAGCAGCCGCGGUAAGGUCGUCAUG